ACCCCGAUCCCAAGCACCAAGGAGCCGACGAUUUGGAUCAAGUCCUACAUCCCAAGCCCCAAGGUGCCUGGUUGAUUUGGAUCAUGAUCCCGAUCCGGAGCUCCAGGGCGCCGAGGAUUUCGAUCAUGAUCCCGAUCUGAAGCACCAAGGAGCCUAGGAUAUGGAUAAAGACCCCGAUCUGAAGCGACAAGGAGGAAAGGAUUUAGAUCAAGACUCUGAUCACAAGCACCAAGGCGCCGAGGAAUUGGAUCAAGAUCAAGUAGGCUAUGUUAUUUUAUGUUUCCCACACCGUUCAGGGCAUUUUGGUGGUUGUAUCGGCUUUUUGUUGCUUGCUUGGUGUUAGUGCCAAGGGAGUGGCUGGAAGCUAGGUCGUCCUCUGGAAUGCUUGUUGUAAAGGUGUAUGAGUUGUGUUUGGCUUGUUACGGGUGUUUGUUGGCUGCUUGUGCAGGAACUUUCAUGCGUUCAAGCCUCUUCAGUUGUGCUACAAGGCCUUGUUUGUCUUGUGCUUACGGUGGGUUUCCUGUGUUGCAUACCUAAUCAAGGGCAUCGUAUGGCUCGAUCGAAGUACAUAUUCGUAAUGCGCUGCUUGCGGCGUUGAACGAACCUCGAAGCGGUCUCUGUGGCCCAUGUUGUCUUUGCUCACGCAUGGAUGGCAUGGCCCUUGGGGCGUCGCUUGGUCUCUUGGAUAUGGAACCUGAUGAUGUGGGCGGUAGGGUCUUUGAUGAUUCUACCUUUGC
rnacentral:misc_RNA from 1 species